GAUGAACGCUGGCGGCGUGCCUAAUACAUGCAAGUCGAGCGAAUGGAUUAAGAGCUUGCUCUUAUGAAGUUAGCGGCGGACGGGUGAGUAACACGUGGGUAACCUGCCCAUAAGACUGGGAUAACUCCGGGAAACCGGGGCUAAUACCGGAUAACAUUUUGAACCGCAUGGUUCGAAAUUGAAAGGCGGCUUCGGCUGUCACUUAUGGAUGGACCCGCGUCGCAUUAGCUAGUUGGUGAGGUAACGGCUCACCAAGGCAACGAUGCGUAGCCGACCUGGGAGGGUGAGCGGCCACACUGGGACUGGGACACGGCCCAGACUCCUGCGGGAGGCAGCAGUAGGGAAUCUUCCGCAAUGGACGAAAGUCUGACGGAGCAACGCCGCGUGAGUGAUGAAGGCUUUCGGGUCGUAAAACUCUGUUGUUAGGGAAGAACAAGUGCUAGUUGAAUAAGCUGGCACCUUGACGGUACCUAACCAGAAAGCCACGGCUAACUACGUGCCAGCCGCCGCUGUAA
rnacentral:rRNA from 1 species